CACCUACGGGUGGCUGCAGUCUAGAAAAUUGCGCAAUGGGCGCAAGCCUGACGCAGCGACGCCGCGUGCGGGAUGAAGUCCUUCGGGAUGUAAACCGCUGUCCCGGGAGACGAUGGAGCGCAUACCCAAUACGUAUGCGCUUUGACGGUAUCCCGGAAGAAAGCACCGGCUAACUACGUGCCAGCAGCCGCGGUAAUACGUAGGGUGCAAGCGUUGCCCGGAUUCACUGGGCGUAAAGGGUGCGUAGGCGGAUCGGUAAGUUGAUCGUGAAAUCUCCGGGCUCAACCCGGAAACUGCGGUCGAUACUGCCGGUCUAGAGGACAGAAGAGGAGAGCGGAACUCCUGGUGUAGCGGUAAAAUGCGUGGAUAUCAGGAGGAAGGCCGAUGGCGAAAGCAGCUCUCUGGGAUGUUCCUGACGCUGAUGCACGAAAGCUAGGGUAGCAAACCGGAUUAGAUACCCUAGUAGUCC
rnacentral:rRNA from 1 species